AAAAAAAAAAGAAGUGCAAGGGAAGUCCAUAACCGCUCCCCGGCUGCAAAGCCCGCGGACUCCGCGGUUGUCUGCCGGGCAGACAGACAGACAGACAGGCAGGCGUACGGACACACAGCCGCGCCGCUUCCCCCCGCAGCGCCGAGGGGAGGGGACGCGCAGGCAGCCGGGGGCACCCCCGAUGGCUCUGUUGCAAUUCCGCGGCUCCCUUCCCCGCACGGGAACCUCGCGGCGCCUCGGGCAGCCGAGCCAGCAGCGCGGAGCUGCGGCCCCCCCGCCCCCCGGGACUCCGGCGCUGCGUCCUGCGGCCUCCCUCAGGCCCGCCGAACCCGGCACCGGCAGCAAGAGAAGGGGCUGAGCUAGGCAAAGGCUUUUUCUUUAAAUAUAUAUAUAUACAUUUAACCAAAAAAAUAAUAAUUAAAAAAAAAAAAAAGGAAAAGAAAGAAAAGCAAGCAACCAACCGACCCCCAACCCCCAGCGAGCACCCAAAGGAAGCAGCCUCCACCCGCAGUUUCGGGACUUGCUGCCAACCUCCGGCUCUCCUUCGGCCCCGCCGGCCCCGGGGCAGCGGAGCCGCCCGCUGCAAUCCCCACGCCGCUGCCUGCCGCCAACGAGAUGGGGAAGAAAAGGAAAAUCCGGGCGGGCAGCGGAGUCAGGUCUAAAUUGAAUGUACAGAACCAUUCCUUUCUCUGCUUAAUGUAACACUUGCAGCAAAAGCGCUUGAAGCAAUUGAAAACUACAUCGAAGUUUUGAGUAGUCUCGAUAAGAAGCGCUAGGCUCGAUGUCCUCGCACUUUAAUGAGGGUAUGCAGCAUCGAUCCGUACAUACUGGCAAACAUUCUUCAGCGCAGAGCUGCGAAUGCCCAGCUCCACACCGAGACCUGCUCAGCGGACAACAGCAACAACAGCUGGGUGCUUGCUGCCCCCAAAUCCUCCAAAUCCCCCAGCUUUGGUUUCGGCAAGAACUGUGCCCCACGCACCAGCCAAGCUUGCCUGCAGAAAGCCCGUUUCCAACACAUGCUGCAGGCACAGGUGGCUCGUGGCAGAGUGAGAUGUGGCCGGGAAAUGCAGUUCCCAAACUGCCUCUCAGAGCUCCCGUCUAAUUGUGUUUGCCAGACAAAUAACUGCCCUUGUCCCAGUCCUGGGCUAUACGUCCAAUUACUCUGUUGGAGUGCAAUGAGAAGGAAAAUUAAAUUUGUACCCUGAACGCUGUAAUAAAUCCAACAUGCCUCUGCUAACGGGGGCUGUGGCGAGGGGCAGUGCCAUGGGGCGUCCUGACACUGCGGUUUCAAGGCACAGCCACUUUUUUACAAACCUGGCCUGGCAGCAUCACCCCUGUCUUCCAGGAGCCAGGCACAAAGCGAGGAUCCUUGGCUUGCUUCGGCAGGCCGGGAGCUGGGGCUAGCAGGGGUAAUGUGUGCUGAGGUGUGGAGCUGCCCCCAGCUUGACCCCACAGGAGGCCGUGCCGAGUCCCCAUCUCCUUGGGAGGGCUGCACACCGACUCGCCUCUCCAGAGCCUGCCACAGGUGCAGCACAGAAACACAAUGCGGGUGGAGGCCCUCCACACCCCCGGCAGCACCGGCACCUCCUGCACGCCCCCAGCUUACACCCCGGGCAGCACCAGGGCUGGUUCAACCAUGCGUCUGCAGUGCCAAGCAGCUGCAAAACCACACCAAAAUUUGCCAAGGGUCCACUAGCGAUAUCGCUGCCACUCACUACCACCAGGCACUAAGCAUCACUCCAAAUUAAUAAAAAGGUGGUUUUUAAAAGAUUAUGAAGUUCUCCAGGGUAAAGGGAAGGUUAAUGCUCCUCUAUAGUCAUGCAAGUUUUGUGUUUGCCGUCAUGAAGAUUAGUUGGUUUUUCUCUCCCUUCUAAAGAGAAAAUUUACGCGAUGAAUAGGAAUCCAGGAAUAAUGACAUCAAUGGAAACACAAGGAUCAAGUGCCAAAUGGGGAUGAGUGCCUGGGACUCAAUAAAGCCCUGCAGGCUCACCCAGCAGAGGCGACGCGACGCGAGGCAGCGCUGGCCUGGCCAUCGGGAGGGGGCUGCAAGCUGGGAUGCCACUGAGGGGCAGCACCCGGCACUGGCCACAGAGACCCUCCAUUAAGAUUCAGAGGUUGCAGACUCAAUUCCUGCCACUGACAGCCCUCGCUGGGGCAUGGCAUUACCCGAUUGCAACACGGGAUUCAGCAGUCACACCAGCAUAAAACCCAGAGCUCACAAUGGGGAACCAGAGCCCUGCAUAUUCAACACCUGCAGCUUCGGGGCUGCAAAGGCCCAGGGAUUUGCAGGUAAAUGGGCUCUUUUCUCUCUCCUUUCCAAAAUUCAGAUGCAGAUCAAUCCGCUGUGCUAUCUCCAGAGCCUGGUGCUGCUCUGACCUGAGAUUAUAUUUUGCUCCAUUUCUAAUAAAAACACAUCAGUUUUGCACCCGAAUGCAACCCCCAUUUUUUCUUUGGGAAACUAAAUGACCCCUUGUUAAGGCGGGCCUGGAUAAACCCCAAACUCUGAACACUUUGGGCUGUUGUGAGGAAGAAGAGCAUUCCUGGCCCCGCCUGCAGCCAGGGACUCACGCCCCCCACCCGGCUCUGCUGCUCCCACCUCCCCCGUCACCUCCGCACAGCGCCCCUGGGCUUCACCCACACGCUGCCUGCCCAAAGCCACCAGGUGCUGCUCCCACAUGGUCAAGGGGGAUGUGGUGCGUGCAGGCACGUCCCCAGCUCCAGCUGUGCCCUGCUUUCCAUCUGUGCUUUGCAUGAGCAGCCCCAGUGCCUCUGAAAGCACAAACCCCUUGGUUUGCCACUGCAGGCAAUGAUAACACAGCUGCUGGUCACCCCCAAUGCCUCUGGGCAGCAGCAGCCCAGGUCCCCGCCAGGACCCAGCCCCGAACAGAGCCUGCCACGGGACACCCCUGCCUGCCCCACGCCUCUGGCAGCAGGGGCAGCUCCAAGGGAGCCCAGGCCUGGCAUGGUGCUUUUUAAAAGCAGGAAGAUACAACGAGGCAGGGCACUCGAGACCCUGCCUCCUUGCUCCCAUCAGCUCACCCUUGAAGCUCUUAAGCCCCUUUGGUCCCUGAACUUAACCACAGGGAGAGGAUUUCAGCACCAACACUUGCCAGCGGGUGUUAGGCAACUUAAUUAAUGUUUGCAGAGCUCUGAGCAGGCAGCGCUACACGUGCACAGAUUGUGUCGCAUUCCAGCCAGGCCACAAAGCCCUGCGGAGGCGCCACCUGCCCCGCGCGGGGUCCCCCCUUGCCGCAGGCACCCCAGGUCUCCCCGGGUUGAGGUGGCCAAGCACAAACCAGCCUCUCCCUGCUGCUCGGCCAUGCCCCAUCGCAGCUGCUGCCCACAGCUAAUUCGAAUAGGAAACAGCUCUACAGAAAGCCAUCUGCAAACCACAGAUAGAAAAUAAAUAAGCUGGCAAACAGCUUCAUGUGCUGCUGUGGAUUUUUGUUUGUUGUUUUUGUUUUAAACCAGUACCCAUCAUUACUGCAGAGGUGGGACAGGAUGCCUCAGGCACACAUUGCCUCUCCCUCAUCCAUUCGGCAUGGGAUUAAAGAACAACCAAUUUAAGGUCAAUGUGGGUCUGGUUCAGGAGAGCAUCCCCAGGCAGACAAACACACAACGGCUCCUUUGCAGAGCACUGAGCUCCCUCUUCAGUAUCUUCUCCACACAGAGACAGAUUUAAAUGUUCCCCUCACUGCUGUUAAAGCACUUUCUAAGAGCUGUAGUGCCCACAUUGCUUCCUUGGCAAAGGUUCACAGUGACUCUGCAACCCCUUCUUCAGCAGGGCCAGCAGAGUACCCAGCCCACCAGAGGAGGGCAGGAGACCCUCCACCAGCCAAGUCCACCCCACCAACACUGACAGUUUAUUGGAGGGUGCUGGGCUCUCCCCUCCCACAUAAUUACACUUAUGACAAAUAACACCUGGUGCUCACCAAGCCCAGGGCUCACGGUGCUCCCCUCCACCUCUCCCACAGCAAGACACCCCCAGAUCUCAGGGUGCUCCGCUCACAUCCCUCCCCACAACCCCUGGGGCUGUGCUACUGGCUGCUCCCACACACACCAGUCCCACUGCGUUCACUCCUGGCUGCACAUGGAAAUCCAGCACCAAGAGAAAACAUCUCCAGUGGUCAGAAAUGGCUGGUAUCUGGUGCCCCGACCUUUCCUCCAGCACCACCCAGGCACAUCCCUGGAGCCACAUUUCUCCCUUGGAGCCUCAAAGCAGAGGUGACCCUAAGGGCCAGCACAGUUCAGGACCCCCACCUCCUUCCCCUAUGUCUCUGACUGGCUCUGCACCCUCCAGGCGCCAUCAGAAGAAUCAUCACUAAAGGUGGGGAGCAGCAAAUGGAGUCAUUUAAGCAGCUUUCUCAGUGGCUCUUUUUGGAGCAAUCUCUCUUUAUGGACUUUCUGAUCGAGUUGCUUUUCCACUUUUUUUUUUUUUAAAUUGAGCUAUAGAAGUGUGUGUAAUGAGCGAUUAAAAGACUAGUCAUGCCCUGUGA